rnacentral:rRNA from 1 species
AGUUUGAUCAUGGCUCAGAUUGAACGCUGGCGGGAUGCUUUACACAUGCAAGUCGAACGGCAGCACGGACUUCGGUCUGGUGGCGAGUGGCGAACGGGUGAGUAAUGUAUCGGAACGUCACCAGCAAGUGGGAUAACUACGCGAAAAGCGUAGCCAAUACCGCAUACGCUCCCUUCGGGAAAGCGGGGACCCCGGGCCUCGCACUAUUAGAGCGGCCGAUAUCGGAUUAGCUUAGUUGUGGGUAACGCUCACUAAGGGCGACGAUCCGUAGCUGGUUUGAGAGGACGACCAGCCACACCGGGACUGAGACACACGGCCCAGACUCCUACGGAGGCAGCAGUGGGGAAUUUUGGACAAUGGGGAAAACCCUGAUCCAGCCAUCCCGCGUGUGGGUGCGAUGAAGGUGGCCUGGGUUGAAAGCACUUUUAACAGAAAACAAACCACAACAAACACCUGCAGCAAACGAUCUGAUCACACCUUACAGAAUAAGCACCGGCUAACUACGUGCCAGCAGCUGCGGUAAUACGUAGGGUGCAAGCGUUAAUCGGAAUUACUGGGCGCAAGCGUGCGCAGGCGGUUCGGAAAGAAAGAUGUGAAAUCCCAGGGCUUAACUUUGGAACUGCAUUUUUGAGACUACCGAGCUAGGAGUGUACAGAGGGAGGUGGAAUUCCGCGUGUAGCAGUGAAAUGCGUAGAUAUGCGAGGAACAUCGAUGGCGAAGGCACUUCUGGAUAACACUGACGCUCAUGCACGCAGCGGGAGCAAACAGGAUUAGAUACCCUGGGUAGUCCACGCCUCAAAACGAUGUCAAUUAGCUGUUGGGGCCUUCGGGCCUUGCAGGCGCAUGCAGGUUGACCGCCUCGGGGAGUACGGUCGCAAGAUUAAAACCUGAAGGAAUUGAUUUCUGGGACCCGCACAAGCGGUGGAUGAUGUGGAUUAAUUCGAUGCAACGGGAAAACUUUACCUACCCUUGGAUGUCUGGAAUCCCGAAGAGAUUUGGGAGUGCUCGCAAGAGAACCGGAACACAGGUGCUGCAUGGCUGUCGUCAGCUCGUGUCGUGAGAUGUUGGUUAAGUCCUGCAACGAGCGCAACCCUUGUCAUUAGUUGCUACGAAAGGGCACUCUAAUGAGACUGCCGGCAUGUCCCGAGGAAGGUGGGGAUGACGUCAAGUCCUCAUGGCCCUUAUGGUAGGGCUUCACACGUCAUAAUGGUCGGGACAGAGGGUCGCCAACCCGCGAGGGAGCCAAUCCCCAGAAAACCCGAUCGUAGUCCGGAUCGCAGUCUGCAACUCGACUGCGUGAAGUCGGAAUCGCUAGUAAUUCUGCGGGAUCAGCAUGUCGCGGUGAAUACGUUCCCGGUCUUGUACACCGCCUGUCACACCAUGGGGAGUGGGUUUUACCAGAAGUAGUUAGCCUAACCGUAAGGAGGGCGAUUACCGCUGUAGGAUUCAUGACUGGGGUGAAGUCGUAACAAGGUAG